CACAGAGCUACUGAGAGGCCAGCAGCGUUCAGUAGCAGUCUUGUUGCAGAGACACAGGAGACCAGAAGUUUCUCUGGCCCUUGUACAAUGAGCACAGAGUCGGCUUCUGCUGGAACUGUUGUUGAUGGGUUAGGUCUUCACAGAGAAUUUCCUGGAAGAGAAUACUCACUGUUUUCUUCUUCCUGCCCAUGGACUUUAGAUACCAGCUUGAAGAAUAACUUGAGUGAGAUGCAGCAGGAGUUGGAAGAAAUAACUUCAGGACUAGAAGUAGGUGCUGCUGGAUACAGUCCUCUAGAAGAGUUCUCCUCUAGGAUACAUUAAUGAGUCAAGUCUAAAUGAAUAUAUUCUUUGGAAGGCAUCUCAACAAUAUAUGCCAAUUUUUUUUUAAAUUAUAUGAUGUGAAAGACUUUUAAUUGGAUCUUGCCAAUGAAAGCCAAUUUUAUAUCCUCAAACUGUCAAAGUAUUUAGAUCAUGUGUGUUUUGACAAGUGUAUCACAGAAGUGAUCCUGUGGAUCUUCUCUUUGCAUCCUAACAUGGGAUCUACAUCUGAUUUGUCUUAUUCCUGAUGAUGUUAGCAUUGACCGCUAAUGGUGGUAUCUGCUGUGUUUGAGAUUUGACUUGCUGAAUGAGCCAAGCAUAGUACCUGAAAUAAAUCUAACUCAGUCAGGUGAUACUGGCUUUAUAAAACUAUUUGGCAUCCACAGCUCAUGAGAAUUAUUCACAAAUAUCCCCUCUUGCCCCUGGGUUUUGUGAUUGGGACCUGAGUGUACUGGAUCUGACAUGUGGGCCCAUCCUCUGGGCCCUGGAGAUCAAUCCCUGAACAUAGCAGGGAGAAGCAUACUGUUCCCAAGUCCCUCCUGGGAUGCUCAAGCUGGAUCAAUGUCCCUCCACUUCGGGCUGUGUCCCACUCUGCUGAAGUCACCAGCAACAGUACCAGGAAUGGCCAGCAGGCAGUGCACUCACAGUCCAAGCACCUCUUUUUUCUGCUACAGGACCUCCAGAGAAAAGGACCCACUGCACUCAUGUGGCUCCUGCAGUCUGGGCCAGAGUUGAGAAAUGUCUGUGUUGGGAUGAGGAAGAUGGAACCAGAAUGUUUGGGGCACCCUGGUGAAGACAAAGGCAGCAGGCAGGGGAUGGAGAACAGCUUCCUACUUUGUCUGUUGCUACCACUCCAAAGUGAAAAUCAUAAUGCCUACUUUUGCCAGAUGGGAAAUAGAAGAUGAGCUCCUUUGUUGGUGCCAGUAAUACCAGCAGGCAAGAACAUCAAAGCAUGGCUGCUUCUGUUCAGUGGAUAUGAAGUAGAUAAUCUGCUCCCCGAUGGACUCCACUGGAACCAUCCUGGUAUUUCAUUGCAGUUGGUGGUCCUGAUUGGAGGCUUCCGCAGCACUCUCUCCAGAGCAUAUGGGAAGAAAUUGAAGACCCAAGGAACUCAUCAUUGUGUUAUUCCCCACACCACAGGAUUUUUGCGCUUUCAAUGUGGUGAAGUUGAACACUAUAAGUGAGAGAUUGAAGAAAGCACAAGAAAGGCACAAGCAGCAUCUGAAGAAUACAGAGAACUUCACUUAGAAGUCAGAUGGAACUCAGAAUGAAAGAUCUUGAAUCUGAAGUCUCCAACAGGAAAACUUCUUGAGAAGUCUUUCAUUAUAUUGAAUUGGGAAAAUACAAGCACCUCUAUCAAUUAGACUUGGAAGCUAGAAAAUACUUGUCAAACAAAAUUAAAAAUCUUCACAGAACUACUGAGAGACUAGCAGCAUUCAGUAGCAAUCUUUUUGUGGAGACAGGAGACCAGAACUUUCUUUACCACUCAUGGACAGUCCUAUAGUCACCUCCUGGUGGCAAUCUUAAUAAUGGUUUAGGUCUUCACAGAGAAUUUACUUCAAAAGAAUACUCAACGUUCUCUUUUUCCUGCCCAUGGACUUCACAUACCGGCAUGAAGAACAACUUGAGUGAGAACUCCAUGGAAUGCCAAACAUGGUGCCCAUGUCCCCUGAAGAUGUAAGAAGAGCAUCCCAAUCCAAAAUUUGAUUUCACCAAAGAAUCUAUUUCUGGAAAAUCUCAAAAUGUAUUCAACAAUGAAAAGCUACGAUGCUGCUGGAUAUUCUCCUGUGGAAGAGCUUCUUCUCUAGAUUCACUGAUGAGUCAAAUCUAAAUGAAGACAUUCUUUAGAAAGCAUCAUGGAAAUAUGUGCCAAUUUUUUUUUAAAAAAAAUAUACAAUGUGAAAGACUUUUAAGUAGGUCUUGCAAAUGAAAGCCAGUUUUACAUCCUCAGACUGCCAAAAUGUUAGCUGUUUAUAAUUUUAAUUUUAAGCACUGAUUUAUAUGACUCUUUCUUCUUGGAGAAAUAAAAUUUGCCUAAGGCU